rnacentral:rRNA from 1 species
AUGACCACAAGUUUCCAGUGUCUCCUUUGUAGUUCGGACUGUGAAAGCAUUAGGCAUGCUAUGUUUCUGUGCCCGAGGGUACAGGAAAUUUGGCGAAUUCUUGGACUACAGGAGCUGGUGAAUGAAAUCUGCACAAUAGAGAGAGAUGGAGGUUCGGCGCGGGCCGAUCUCCUAUUAUCCAAAAGUACCAUAUGUCCACUUGUGGCCGAUGUCCAGCGCAAUGAUCUAGUGGCCACAACAAUCUGGUAUGUAUGGUGGGAACGACGCAAAUACACACACGGUGAGAACAUCUGUGAGUCAGCAAGGUCGGCCCAAGCUAUAUCAACUUUAGUGCAGAACUUUUCACGAGCAAGGUUGAAGCAAACUAAAAUUAAAAGACAUGGCUGGUCCAAGCCGCCUGAGGGCGUCAUCAAACUUAAUGUCGAUGCAGCUUUUGAUCAGGACACUGGUACAGGGGCCUGCAGUGAUAUACCCUUUGUGGAAGACGCAGCGACGGCAGAGGCUAGAGGACUACGAGAUGGCCUCCUACUAGCGAAUGAAGUUGGUUGCAACAAAAUCUAUGUCGAAGCGGACUGUCUGGAGGUAAUCAAAAUCAUGCUGAGUGGCGGGAAUUCUUUAGGACCAGCAGCGGCAAUAUAUGAAGAAUGCACUUUCCUAUCUAGCAAUUUUAUCUCUAUAGUUUUUAGCCAUUGCCCUCGGGAAGCCAAUAUGGCGGCGGAUCUGCUAGCUAAGAACUCGGAGGUGUCUCGAACAAUUGUUUGGAAAUCGGAGCCCCCGGGUUUCUUAGUGGAUGUUUUAACAAACGAUGUAUCUUUAUUCUCAGAUGAAAUAUAA